rnacentral:rRNA from 1 species
GUGAAAAGGACCCCGGGAGGGGAGUGAAAGAGAACCUGAAACCUUGUGCUUACAAACAGUCAAAGGACGCAAGUCUGAUGGCGUACUUUUUGUAGAACGGUCCGGCGAGUUACUAAUGCCAGCGAGGUUAAGUGGUCAGAAGCCACGGAGCCGAAGGGAAACCAAGUCUGAAUAGGGCGUAGAGUUGGUAUUAGUAGACCCGAAACCGGGUGACCUAUCCAUGUCCAGGUUGAAGGAACCGUAAAAGGUUUUGGAGGACCGAACACACAUGUGUUGAAAAACGUGGUGAUGAGGUGUGGAUAGCGGAGAAAUUCCAAUCGAACUCGGAGAUAGCUGGUUCUCCUCGAAAUAGCUUUAGGGCUAGCCUCGAGCUGGAGUCUAACGGAGGUAAAGCACUGAACUGACGCGGGGCCCAAAAAGGUUACCAACUCAUAUCAAACUAAGAAUGCCGUCAAGAUACCCUCGGGAGUCAGUCUGCGUGAGAUAAGUCGCGUGGACAAAAGGGAAAGAGCCCAGACCGACAGCUAAGGUCCCAAAGUACGUGUUAAGUGGAAAAGGAUGUGGGAUUUCAUAGACAACUAGGAUGUUGGCUUAGAAGCAGCCAUACAUUUAAAGAGUGCGUAAUAGCUCACUAGUCGAGAAAACCUGCGCCGAAAAUGUAACGGGGCUAAAACACGACACCGAAGCUACGGAUUUCCUACAAGGUAGGAAGUGGUAGAGGAGCAUCCUGCAAGGACGAAGCCAAAGUGAGAGCGAUGGUGGACGAAACAGGAGAGAGAAUGCCGGAAUGAGUAGCGAGAUACAUGUGAGAAACAUGUAGGCCGAAUAUCUAAGGAUUCCUGGGUAAAGCUAAUCUUCCCAGGGUUAGUCGGGGCCUAAGGCGAGGGCGAAAGUCGUAGUCGAUGGAUAACAGGUUGAUAUUCCUGUACUACACAUAAUCAGAACUGUGGGGACGCAGGAGGAUAGGGAAACCGGGGAAUGGAAAGACCCGGUCAAGCGUAAAGCUGUGGGAGAUAGGCAAAUCCGUCUCCUGUAAGUGAAACGUGAUGAGGACUGAAAAAAAGUAAGGAAGUUUCCGAAUCCACACUGCCGAGAAAAGCCGCUAUUGCGUUAUGUGUACCCGUACCGUAAACCGACACAGGUAGAUGAGGAGAAAAUCCACAGGCCGACGGGAGAAGUGUUGUUAAGGAACUCGGCAAAAUGACCCCGUAACUUCGGGAUAAGGGGAGCCUCGCAAGAGGCCGCAGAAAAGAGGCACAAGCAACUGUUUAGCAAAAACAUAGGUCUAUGCGAAACCGUAAGGUGAAGUAUAUGGGCUGACGCCUGCCCGGUGCUGGAAGGUUAAGAGGAGAGGUUAGCGCAAGCGAAGCUUUGAAUUUAAGCCCCAGUAAACGGCGGCCGUAACUAUAACGGUCCUAAGGUAGCGAAAUUCCUUGUCAGGUAAGUUCUGACCCGCACGAAAGGCGUAAUGAUUUGUGCACUGUCUCGACAACACGCCCGGUGAAAUUGAAGAACCAGUGAAGAUACUGGUUACCCGCAACAGGACGGAAAGACCCCAUGGAGCUUUACUGCAGCCUGAUACUGGGAUUCGAUGAUAUAUGUACAGGAUAGGUGGGAGGCUAAGAAGCGAGAACGCUAGUUUUCGUGGAGCCGCCGGUGGGAUACCACUCUUAUGUCAUUGAAUUUCUAACCUGCAUCCGUAAUCCGGGUGAGGGACAAUGUCAGGCGGGCAGUUUGACUGGGGCGGUCGCCUCCUAAAAGGUAACGGAGGCGCUCGAAGGUCACCUCAGAAUGAUUGGAAACCAUUCAAAGAGUGUAAAGGCAAAAGGUGGCUUGACUGCGAGAGCGACGGCUCGAGCAGGUACGAAAGUAGGACUUAGUGAUCCGGUGGUAAUAAGUGGGAAUGCCAUCGCUCAACGGAUAAAAGCUACCCUGGGGAUAACAGGCUUAUCUCCCCCAAGAGUUCACAUCGACGGGGAGGUUUGGCACCUCGAUGUCGGCUCAUCGCAUCCUGGGGCUG